rnacentral:tRNA from 1 species
GCCGCCAUGGUGAAAUUGGUAGACACGCUGCUCUUAGGAAGCAGUGCUCAAGCAUCUCGGUUCGAAUC